UCGAAGUCCGUAAGAGAAGCC
rnacentral:miRNA from 1 species